AUUGAACGCUGGCGGCAGGCCUAACACAUGCAAGUCGAGCGAGCGGCAGACGGGUGAGUAAUGUAUGGGGACUGCCCGAUAGAGGGGGAUAACUACUGGACACGGUGGCUCAUACCGCAUACUAUCGGAUAACCCAUAUGGGAUUAGCUAGUAGGUGGGGUAAAGGCUCACCUAGGCGACGAACGCUAGCUGGUCUGAGAGGAUGAUAAGCCAUACUGGGACUGAGACACGGCCCAGACUCAGACGGAGGCAGCAGUGGGGAAUAGUGCACAAUGGGCGCAAGCCUGAGGCAGCCAGGCCGCGUGUAUGAAGAAGGCCGUAGGGUUGUAAAGUACUUGCAGCGGGGAGGCGUUACCCGCAGAAGAAGCACCGGCUAACGCCGUGCCAGCAGCAGCGGUAAUUC
rnacentral:rRNA from 1 species